rnacentral:tRNA from 1 species
GAGGAUGUGGCUCAGUGGUAGAGUGUGUGCUUAGCAUGUAUGAGGUCCUGGGUUUAAUCCCCAGUACCUCU